UACGGAGGGUGCAAGCGUUAAUCGGAAUUACUGGGCGUAAAGCGCGCGUAGGUGGUUUGAUAAGCGAGAUGUGAAAGCCCCGGGCUUAACCUGGGAACGGCAUUUCGAACUGUCAGGCUAGAGUAUGGUAGAGGAGUGUGGAAUUUCCUGUGUAGCGGUGAAAUGCGUAGAUAUAGGAAGGAACACCAGUGGCGAAGGCGGCACUCUGGACCAAUACUGACACUGAGGUGCGAAAGCGUGGGGAGCAAACAGG
rnacentral:rRNA from 1 species